CUACGGGACGCUGCAGUCAAGAAUCUUCCACAAUGGACGAAAGUCUGAUGGAGCGAUGCCGCGUGAUCGAUGAAGCCCCUCGGGGUGUAAAGAUCUUUUAUUAGUGAAGAACUAUGACGGUAACUAAUGAAUAAGGGGUUGCUAACUCUGUGCCAGCAGCAGCGGUAAUACAGAGACCCCGAGCGUUAUCCGGAUUUAUUGGGCGUAAAGCGUGCGCAGACGGUUUUUCAAGUCUGUGGUUAAAUCUUGGUGCUUAACAUCAAGACUGCCAUGGAAACUGAAAAACUAGAGGACGGAAGAGGUCAACGGAAUUGCCAGUGUAACGGUAAAACGUGUUAAUAUUGGCAAGAACACCAGAUGCGAAAGCGGUUGACUGGUACGAUCCUGACGUUGUUGCACGAAAGCGUGGGUAGCGAAUGGGAUUAGAUACCCUGGUAGUC
rnacentral:rRNA from 1 species